UACGGAAGGCAGCAGGUGGGGAAUAUUGCACAAUGGGCGCAAGCCUGAUGCAGCCAUGCCGCGUGUAUGAAGAAGGCCUUCGGGUUGUAAAGUACUUUCAGUCGUGAGGAAGGUGUUAAGGUUAAUAACCUUAGCAAUUGACGUUAGCGACAGAAGAAGCACCGGCUAACUCCGUGCCAGCAGCCGCGGUAAUACGGAGGGUGCGAGCGUUAAUCGGAAUUACUGGGCGUAAAGGGCACGCAGGCGGUUAAUUAAGUUGGAUGUGAAAUCCCCGGGCUUAACCUGGGAAUGGCAUUCAAGACUGGUUAGCUAGAGUCUUGUAGAGGGGGUAGAAUUCCAUGUGUAGCGGUGAAAUGCGUAGAGAUGUGGAGGAAUACCGGUGGCGAAGGCGGCCCCGUGGACAAAGGACUGACGCUCAUGUGCGAAAGCGUGGGGAGGCAAACAGGAUUAGAUACC
rnacentral:rRNA from 1 species